GGGUUUGUGGCUCAAUGGUAGAGCGCUUGCCUAGCAUGCAUGAGGCACUGGGUUCGAUCCCUGGCACCA
rnacentral:tRNA from 1 species